rnacentral:rRNA from 1 species
GAUGAACGCUGACAGAAUGCUUAACACAUGCAAGUCUUUGGCGAAGCUGUGCUUGCACAGCCUAGCCAAGGCGGACGGGUGAGUAACGCGUAAGGAACUUGCCCUGCAGUCAGGGAUAACAGACGGAAACGACUGAUAAGACCUGGUAAAGUCAGGCGGACUCAUGUCCAGCCUGAUGAAAAGAGAUGCUGCAGGAGAGCCUUGCGUCCUAUUAGCUUGUUGGUGGGGUAACGGCCCACCAAGGCGAUGAUAGGUAGCCGGCCUGAGAGGGUGGACGGCCACAAGGGGACUGAGAUACGGCCCUUACUCCUACGGGAGGCAGCAGUGGGGAAUAUUGGACAAUGGGGGCAACCUUGAUCCAGCAAUUCUGUGUGCACGAUGAAGGUUUUCGGAUUGUAAAGUGCUUUCAGCAGGGAAGAAAAAAAUGACGGUACCUGCAGAAGAAGCGACGGCUAAAUACGUG